GGAGGUUUAGCUUAGUGGUAUAAGCACCUGCCUGGCAAGCAUGAGGUCAUGAGUUCAAUCCCCU
rnacentral:tRNA from 1 species